rnacentral:rRNA from 1 species
CGGGACGGGUGAGUAACGCGUGGGUAACCUGCCUCAUACAGGGGGAUAACGGCUAGAAAUGACUGCUAAUACCGCAUAAGCGCACAGUACCGCAUGGUACGGUGUGAAAAACUCCGGUGGUAUGAGAUAGACCCGCGUCUGAUUAGCUAGUUGGUGAGGUAACGGCCCACCAAGGCGACGAUCAGUAGCCGACCUGAGAGGGUGACCGGCCACAUUGGGACUGAGACACGGCCCAG